UCUCUCUCUCUCUCUCUCUCUCUCUCUCUCUCUCUCUCUCUCUCUCUCUCUCUCUCUCUCUCUCUCGAUCUCCCUCUCGCUCGCUCUGCCUCGGUGCUCUCCGUAGCCCACUGACCCGCUGCUGUGCACCUGUGGCCCUGCCGGGGGCGAGUCCCUGCUCGCCCCCCCCUGGAGAGCACGGAAGCUUGUUGCCUUAUUUGACCCCCGCCGCUCCGCCGCCGCCGCCACCUAGCUCACCUUCCAGACGCUAAAGGUCCAGCUCAAAGCGAGAGGGGGCAAAAAACAACAACAACAGGUCUUUAAACUUCUGUACACCGCAGCGAAGGUCUGGACGCCAUUCCACCUCCUGCAGACCAGGUCUGAGAAGAUUCAGAUUUCUUAGUCAAAUUCAAUAACGAAUGAAAAAGGAAUGAAGACAGGAUCGAAGGGGUCAACUUGCCCGAAGUGGUUAUGAAUUUGAAUGUUGUGUGCUGAUUUCAUCAUCGACAAAGAAAAGGACAUUACAAACAGAACCAAACAUAAAUACGAUUGAAACGGUAUUAAAUCUGUACCUCCAGUAUUCCUAAUUGUGCAUCCAGGUUUUUUUUUUUUGUGUUAAAAAAGAAAGAAAGUGUAUUCACUUGUUUUAAAAAAAAAAAGAAGGAAUUUUGUAAAACGCCCGAAUCAAUCUUACCAGCUCUGUUUUAUAUCAACAUACUCGGGGUGGAAUUCAAAACAAACGAUUUUAAAUUUGUAAAAAUACAAAAACGACAGGACUCUUGAACAUGAAGUUAUACCUUAGUCUUCUGUGUAGAAUGUAGAUCAACUAGUCAUUGAAAUGUCACUGUGUACGACAAGUUAAUGUAUAUGUGAAAACAUGUAUCACACAUGUAUGUAUGUGUCGUUUUCUUUCUCUCUCUCUCUCUCUCUCUCUCUCUCUCUCUCUCUCUCUCUCUCUCUCUCUCUCUCUUAUUACCUAACACUUAACCAAUCAAACCCGCGUUGUGAGAGAUGGCUGGAGGCCCUUUUUAGCGCGUCUCGGCUUCUUUCAAGAAUGGGGACUUUCCCGCCGUUUUCAUUUCUUUUGUGCUGUACAUUUCUUUUUUUUUGUGGAAUUACCUCUGAGAAACCAAGGCUGACUUUAGUGACUAAAAACUAAAACAAAUGUAGGGGAGGGGGGUUUAAAUAAAUGAACAAUAGUGAAAGUUAGUGUUUUGUCUUUGACGUCUUUUUAACUAUUACGCUUGUGUUGAUUUAAGAAGGCGGACAUCAUGUUUUCUCCGCUGUCAGCAGAAGAGUUGGAAUGCUUGUCCAUGUGACCACAGGAAGAGUAGUUCAUGAAAACAAAACAACAAAAUCGCAAAACACAACGGACCCCAGCAUGAGGCCAUUUUGGCGACCCCCCCCCUCCCCAACACACACACUGCGACUAGAGGCGUUCACUGGACCCCGGACAGAACACUCGUAGCCCUAUCUUUUCAGUAACACUAUUGCAGUACACUGCCACCGUACUGCAGCGUGCGUCGGGGCAGAUCACGGCUUUGAACGCACCGUUGUGACCUUGUGACUCACACUUAGUCACUGUGAUAGUGAGACACCCGCUCCACCGUUUUGUACACAAUUGGACAUGUUUUUGAGGCAAGAGGAAGGACACGUUGUUCUUGUUUUCUGUUCUUUCUUCUCCAGACCUCGGACUUAUCCGCGUUCGUGCCGCUGUGUCUAGGGCUUGAGGUUUGCUUUGCUAUGACUCCAGGGAUUUGGGGUGGUGGAUCACUGCGGUUCGGUGAACAGCGCAUCCAGUCUUAACCAGAACUGCCCGUCUGUCACUGUAGGCAGAGGUACUGCAGAGAAAUCUGUACCAGUAUUGUGUAGAUGGAACUUGAUAAGAAUCUCCGAGGAUAGGCGUUGAUAAGUUUCAUAAAGUGUCCUAGAUUAUGUGUCUAAGUAGCAUAAUACCUGACUGCAGCAAUUUGACGUCGCUUGGGAGUUUAACUAUACAUUUUGCCAUAUACCUUCGUGGUUGGCCAGUUUGUUUCUCACUUAUUCUUAUUCAUCUGGUAAUUUAGUUCUGUCGUCAUCCACAUAAACCAGAUAGAGUGGUUGUGUGGAGAAAUAGCUUGAAAACUUUGCUUUUAUAUCCAUUCCCUUAAAAUCAUCUAUCCUAAUAGUGAAGUUGUGAAAGCAUAGCUUGCAUUUCUAACAUUCGCAGAGGAAGCAGUAUGGCAUAAAAAAAAGAAAAAAAAGAAUGAGUGACAUUAAAACAGUAGAUGACGCCACAGUUGACAAACUAUAUAGACUAGCCAGGGUCUGACAAAGGCUGGAAAAGCUUGUGUGUGGGUGUGUGUGUGUUUGUCUUAGAAUGUUAACAGGAAGCAAGGGCAUUAAACAACAGUCUAAAACGAUCGAGGCAUGGAUUUGCUGAAAACCGAUACAGUACAUUCUAGUCAGAUGUUUGCAGAACUUCAACAGUGUUUUCAAUUCUAUGUUGUUUGCUCAUCAAUAAAUAAAAAAAACACAAACUCCAGCAACAUAUUGAUAAUCCUAGUUUCACAUUCUGUGAGUUCUGGUUGAGUCAUUUCGAAACUGCAUUCCACCAAUGGAAAUCUUCCUUUGUUCUGUGGAUGGGUGAAGGAAACACCCUCCGGGCCUGCAUUUCCCAUAAGUCAGCAGGUCUAGAAACACCUUGACGUGAUUGGUGAUUUUUGUGUUGGGCAGAACCUUAAAGCUCCAUGUCAUCCAGCUUCAUGGUCCCGUGUAUUUCUGCUCACUGUCAUGCUGUUUUUGAGUUGAGUGCACUGUAUCGCUGACCAACCUGCAUCUGAGCAAUAAAGAGUAUUUAAAAAAGACAAAAGCAAAAAAAAAAAA
ensembl:lncRNA